rnacentral:rRNA from 1 species
UACGUAGGGGGCCAGCGUUGCUCGGAAUUACUGGGCGUAAAGGGUUCGUAGGUGGUGCGGCAAGUUGGGAGUGAAAUCUCUGGGCUUAACCCAGAGGCUGCUUUCAAAACUGCCGCGCUCGAGUGCGAGAGAGGUGAGUGGAACUGCGAGUGUAGAGGUGAAAUUCGUAGAUAUUCGCAAGAACACCAGUGGCGAAGGCGGCUCACUG